UUGUCACGUCACCACCGUUCA
rnacentral:piRNA from 1 species